CGCCAGACUCCUACGGGGGGCAGCAGUGGGGAAUAUUGCACAAUGGGGGGAACCCUGAUGCAGCGACGCCGCGUGGGUGAAGAAGUAUUUCGGUAUGUAAAGCCCUAUCAGCAGGGAAGAAAAAUGACGGUACCUGACUAAGAAGCACCGGCUAAAUACGUGCCAGCAGCCGCGGUAAUACGUAUGGUGCAAGCGUUAUCCGGAUUUACUGGGUGUAAAGGGAGCGCAGGCGGCACGCUAAGCCUGAUGUGAAAACCCGCGGCCCAACCGCGGGAGUGCAUUGGGAACUGGCGGGCUGGAGUACCGGAGGGGCAGGCGGAAUUCCUAGUGUAGCGGUGAAAUGCGUAGAUAUCACGAAGAACCCCGAUUGCGAAGGCAGCCUGCCGCAGCGUUACUGACGCUGAAGCUCGAAAGCGCGGGUAUCGAACAGGAUUAGAUACCCGAGUAA
rnacentral:rRNA from 1 species